GGCUUCGUAGCUCAGCUGGUAGAGCGUUGAGGUAUGGUGUUUCUGUCGCUGGUUUGAAUCCAGUCGAAGCCC